UACCAGCACCCCGAGUGGUCGGGACGUUUUAUUGGGCCUAAAGCAUCCGUAGCCGGUUCUGCAAGUCUUCCGUUAAAUCCACCUGCUUAACAGAUGGGCCGCGGAAGAUACUAUAGAGCUAGGAGGCGGGAGAGGCAAGCGGUACUCGAUGGGUAGGGGUAAAAUCCGUUGAUCCAUUGAAGACCACCAGUGGCGAAGGCGGCUUGCCAGAACGCGCUCGACGGUGAGGGAUGAAAGCUGGGGGAG
rnacentral:rRNA from 1 species